ACUCCUACGGGAGGCAGCAGUGGGGAAUUUUGGACAAUGGGCGCAAGCCUGAUCCAGCAAUGCCGCGUGCAGGAUGAAGGCCUUCGGGUUGUAAACUGCUUUUGUACGGAACGAAAAGCCCUGGGUUAAUACCCUGGGGUCAUGACGGUACCGUAAGAAUAAGCACCGGCUAACUACGUGCCAGCAGCCGCGGUAAUACGUAGGGUGCAAGCGUUAAUCGGAAUUACUGGGCGUAAAGCGUGCGCAGGCGGUUUUGUAAGACAGAGGUGAAAUCCCCGGGCUCAACCUGGGAACUGCCUUUGUGACUGCAAGGCUAGAGUACGGCAGAGGGGGAUGGAAUUCCGCGUGUAGCAGUGAAAUGCGUAGAUAUGCGGAGGAACACCGAUGGCGAAGGCAAUCCCCUGGCUGUACUGACGCUCAUGCACGAAAGCGUGGGGAGCAAACAGGAUUAGAUACCCUGGUAGGCUCU
rnacentral:rRNA from 1 species